UUGACCUGGCUUGCCCAGCAUCUGUACAGCUUGUGCUUCAGUGGGGCUUGUUGACACUUUUAUCUAAUAGCUGAUUGAGUCUAUUGACUGUGUUAGUUUAGCUCAACUCUUACCAACAGGAAGGCCCUUUUUCUUUUCAUUGAGUUGGUCAGUAUUUUUCAAAUCUUCAAUUUUCUUUCUAUUUAUAGGAUGAAGGCAUCCUUUUCACUACAUGUGCUCUUUUGUGAGUGCCUUAGAUAAUAUAUAACAUGAGCUUGCUGGAGUCAGUUUCUAACAUUAUUUUGAGAAAAAAAUGAAAAAGAAAUCAAUAAGGGUCAGAUUUUCUAUCCUGUGCACUUUCAAACACUGCCAAGCUGUACAGUCUUUUUUCCAAUUUGGGAAAAUUAUACAACAAUGUAAAUACCUAAAGUUAGGCACUGACAUCAAUCUGUUUUUAGGCUACCAGAGCAAUACCUUGAUUCUCAGAUGGAGCAAAUACUUUCCUGCAGCUUCAAUUAAAGUGAAUAGAACCUCGGAAAAUCAGUAUGCAAUACUGAGACUCUGAAAUACUGGCUGCUGACAUCCUGACUCCAAUGAUGAAAACUAGCUACCUUUCUGCUCACCCUUGACCUCAGCAUUGAAAAUGCUGGCCGCUAGGAAUAGCAAAUGCUUUGCAUUUAUUUGUGGCUGCUAACCUGAUGUAUUCACUUUCAUGUGGACAAAGGGGGUGCAGAACAUUCCCCUUCCCCUUUGAUUGCAUUAAAAUGAUAUUAAUAGCAUUGCAAGGUAGUGGCAAAUCAGAUUUUCUAAUCCACUUAACAUGUGCACUGAAAUGAACCAAAAUAUUACAAAUGAAAAAAUUAACAAGAAAAGAGGUAUAGCAUUUAUCAGUGUGAAUGUGCUGUGAUGAAUUCAAUGACAGCUAAAUGCUAUUUGAAAAUUAGAUUUAACGAUAAAAUAGUGUGGGCCAUCAAAAACCCUUCAAAUAUGUGAAUUGAAGACAAAAUAUAUUCACGCUGACAAAUUCAGUAAAUACUUCAAUGCAUUCACUUUCAUAAAACAACAGACUUUCAGAUUCAAAAUAUCAAGAAAAACAUUUAUAGAUUACAUUCUGUAUACCCAUAAGCUUAUUUUGGUCUAGUAAUAUGAACAUAUUUUUAGCAAACCAAAUUUAUACAUGCUUUCUUAAAUCAUUUUGAAACUUGAAUUUUCCAUGUAAAAACUUUUUUGACAAGUGGUAGGUCUUCAUGAAUGAUGCCAAAUACUGCAGAUGGAGGCAGAUUUAAAAAUAACAGCUCAUAUGUCACACUGCAGAGGUUAAUUUACACUACUUGGCACACUCAGUAUAUAACAAUAUCUGGUAAAAAUGUAAUUGUCAACUUUUGUCUUGCUUCCUGAGACACUUGUAAAGUUUGAAUAACAACAGUAUUAUAUCAUAGCAAUCAUUUUUAUUAAAUUGGACGAUGCAAGAAACUUUGCUGGCUUGCAUAUGUUUGGGAAAAAAGCAGGUGUAUGCAUAUAUAAAGCACUCACUUCAUAUUUUUUCAUACAACUUUUAUAUAGCAGACAACAUUUACAAUGAUAAUAAAAAGGGAAAAAAAAAUCAGAUGAUCAACACAGGCUGACCUGAAAAGUAAUCUCUCACCAUUGUGACGGUCAGAAGUGCUAAGGGAUUUUAAGAAAUGCUUAUCAAUGAGAUAAAAAGCUACUUAUCAUGUAGUCUUACCUAUCAGGUAAAUAUAUUUAUCUUGCAUUUGUCAGUCAUACAUAUGAUCAUCAAAUGUACAGAGAACGUUUAUAAAAAGAGAAAUCACCCCUACCAGUAUGCUAUGAAAACAUAACGCUUAUUUUACUGCUGAAACCAAGUACACGUUAUUUAUACAAAAAUAUCAAAGCAUUAAAAUGUUAAUGUAAAAUAACAUAAGUAGAAUGUACUGUUACCUGAUUUUACAAAGUAUACUACUCUAAUGUUUAGUCAUUAAUUCAACAGAAUUACUGCUCCAUUAAAGACACAAACUGGAUAAAAUUGAUGUCUGAAAGUGACGUGUUUUACUAUAGAUUCCCCUGCAUUUGAUGCAUAUACAAAAUACACACACACACACACACACACACACAAAUUAAGUCAUUAAGUCAUAUAACCUGACAAUAUACAUGAAAAACAGUAUUUUCUCAAACAGUGCUCUCUAAAAAUAAACUGUAAAUUGUAGAAAAUAAUAUUAGACCCAAAGCCAAAAGUGAAAAAUGUAGUACGAGACUGAAUAGGUCAAUACUGCACUGUUCCUGCCCUGAAUGGUUAAAAUUCUGUCUCUAUAUUAUUACUCACACUAACGUGUUCUGAACACCAUCGUGUGGACAAAAGGAGGUAUAUCACAGGCUCUGAAUAGCUCUGAAAGGCUUCGGCAUAAAAUCAGCCACAGCAGCUUUAUUACUUUCCCCAAAACUAAGUUCUAUAUGCAGCUUAAGAAAAUUCCAAAGGUAUCUUAGUAAUGGUGUCAGUGUAGAAUUUAAAAUACAUGUUAAUAAAUGGUGACAAGAAAUAGAAGAAACUCAUGCUGGUACAGGCUAAAUAUUCUGAAACUUAGCUAGUACAGUUUAAAGGGCCUUUUUUCUUACAUUAUAUUUCAUUAAUAUAUUUAACCUCUACAUUUUGUUACAGCUAAAUAUUCCCAACUCAGAAAAAAUACUUUGUGGCAAUGCAAAGAUAAUCUCUUGCAUUUAAUUUUUGUAAUAUUUUACUAUAGUACACCUUAUGAGCCAAACAUAUACAUGAAUUGGUGUAGAAAAUAAAAUAUUCAAAACUGCAAACAGAUUCUAAAAAUAAAACCUGAAAAAUCAGAAGCAUUUUGCAGGCCAUAUUCUGCUCUAAGUUUUAACAAUGCAAAUCUAGAGUAACUCAAUAUAAAAUAAGAAUGAAUCCAGAAUGACUCCAUUCAACCCAAAUGCAGAAUAUGGCUCAGCAUCUUCAAAAUGGUACAAAGAUACCUAAUAUAACUAAAAUACUCGCUUUCUCGCAUGAGAAAAUUAAGUUGGGUUUAUAACAAAAUGAAAAAAUCAUUCAUUAAAGACAACACGACAUAAAUUAAUCAUUACCAACAAAGUCACGUGUAGAUAGCUUCUAAAUGUUCAAAUAAAAAAAUUUAGAACUCUAGUCAAAAAGAAGAAAAAGGCAUUUGUAGGAAAUGUGUAUGAAAAAAUAAUCUUCUUAAAAUAUAUAAAAUGCUCUAAUUUCCAACAAAUUCAAGUAAAUUAAGUUAGAAACUCAUGCUACAUUAAGUUAUAAGAUUUCAGAGGUGCAGUUCAGUUAGCUAAAAGCCCAAAAUAUACACAUAACACCAAGUAAGACAUAUAUCUAGGGCAUUUCUAGAAAGGAAACAAUCACAUGAAUAUUCUAACCCUGUCAUUUUCUUAAAAGACCAUGCCCUUUUUGGUAUCAUUACAGGAAAUGAAGUUCAAGACUAAUUUUAUCAAAAAUAUUUAAAAUAUUUAAAAUAAGAUUUGGAAUCACAAGAGAAGUAAAAAUAAGUCAACUU